AAGUCGAGCGCGCCUUCGGGCGAGCGGCGGACGGGUUAGUAACGCGUGGGAACGUGCCCAGAUCUACGGAAUAGCCACUGGAAACGGUGAGUAAUACCGUAUACGCCCUUCGGGGGAAAGAUUUAUCGGAUUUGGAUCGGCCCGCGUUAGAUUAGGUAGUUGGUGGGGUAACGGCCUACCAAGCCUACGAUCUAUAGCUGGUUUCAGAGGAUGAUCAGCAACACUGGGACUGAGACACGGCCCAGACUCCUACGGGAGGCAGCAGUGGGGAAUCUUGGACAAUGGGGACAACCCUGAUCCAGCCAUGCCGCGUGAGUGAAGAAGGCCCUAGGGUCGUAAAACUCUUUCGCCUGUGAUGAUAAUGACAGUAGCAGGUAAAGAAACCCCGGCUAACUCCGUGCCAGCAGCCGCGGUAAUACGGAGGGGGUUAGCGUUGUUCGGAAUUACUGGGCGUAAAGCGCACGUAGGCGGAUUAGAAAGUUAGAGGUGAAAUCCCGGGGCUCAACCCCGGAACUGCCUUUAAAACUACUAGUCUAGAGUUCGAGAGAGGUGAGUGGAAUUCCGAGUGUAGAGGUGAAAUUCGUAGAUAUUCGGAGGAACACCAGUGGCGAAGGCGGCUCACUGGCUCGAUACUGACGCUGAGGUGCGAAAGUGUGGGGAGCAAACAGGAUUAGAUACCCUGGUAGUCCAUACCGUAAACGAUGAAUGCCAGUCGUCGGGUAGUAUACUAUUCGGUGACACACCUAACGGAUUAAGCAUUCCGCCUGGGGAGUACGGU
rnacentral:rRNA from 1 species